rnacentral:ncRNA from 1 species
UUCUUCGGGGCAGGGUGAUCAGACAGCAGGUCUGAAAUUCCCGACCGGCGGUGAUUUCGACAGUUCGAAAAAGUCCGCGAGCCGUUUUUGUACGGCUGAUCCGGUGCGAUUCCGGAACCGACAGUACAGUCUGGAUGAGAGAAGG